CUGUCCCAUGAUGAAUGUGCCCUGAUGUCUCAUUGGCUAUGUUGGUCACAUGGCUUCACUGGCCACAAAGGACUCUGGGCACUGUGGGCCUCCCGUCUGAAGGUGGUUGCAAGCUGGUUGAAACAGAUGCUCUGACUAAACACAAAGGGUAGGACAAGGCAGGACGGUCAAUUAGGCACCAAGUGAGUGGAAAAGACAAUGAAGUUCCAAGGAGCAGGUAGAAGGACAAGAUCACUGUGGCCGUAGGCCUCACAGAGGAAGGAAGGCUUGCGCUGGGCUGGAAGGAUGCACAAGAUUUGGCUGGGCCACAGAAAGAACUUGAGGAGAAGGGCCUGAACCCCAAGAUUCCACAAGAAUUAAGCUAGAAGUCAAAGUGUUAUGCAAGCCGGAAGUUUCCAAGAGUAUAAGCCAAAUUUCUUCAAUGAAGAUUUCCAAAUCAAAAUGUCAGCCUCUCUUGUAGAAGAAGAAAUAUUGAUUUGUGUUAACUUCAUCUGACAAAAAAUGUUACAAAGUGAGGGCCAACAGUGCACACUGUAAAGAAACCAGAAGGGACAUGAGUCUAUUAGAACUAGAGCUUCAAUUUAUAAAAUGGAAAGAGGAACAUCAGAUAGAGAUGUUAUUAAAAUAAAAUUACAUUGUUUGGUGAAACAAAAAGUAUUCUAGGCCAGGGGUGGUG
rnacentral:lncRNA from 1 species